rnacentral:tRNA from 2 species
GGAUUGGUAGCUCAGUUGGAUAGAGUACUUGACUACGAAUCAAGGGGUCGGGGGUUCGAAUCCUCCCCAGUCCACCA